AGAGUUUGAUCCUGGCUCAGGAUGAACGCUGGCGGCGUGCCUAACACAUGCAAGUCGAGCGAUUUACUUCGGUAAAGAGCGGCGGACGGGUGAGUAACGCGUGGGUAACCUGCCCUGUACACACGGAUAACAUACCGAAAGGUAUGCUAAUACGAGAUAAUGUGCUUUUAUCGCAUGGUAGAAGUAUCAAAGCCUUUGCGGUACAGGAUGGACCCGCGUCUGAUUAGCUAGUUGGUAAGGUAACGGCUUACCAAGGCGACGAUCAGUAGCCGACCUGAGAGGGUGAUCGGCCACAUUGGAACUGAGACACGGUCCAAACUCCUACGGGAGGCAGCAGUGGGGAAUAUUGCACAAUGGGCGAAAGCCUGAUGCAGCAACGCCGCGUGAGCGAUGAAGGCCUUCGGGUCGUAAAGCUCUGUCCUCAAGGAAGAUAAUGACGGUACUUGAGGAGGAAGCCCCGGCUAACUACGUGCCAGCAGCCGCGGUAAUACGUAGGGGGCUAGCGUUAUCCGGAAUUACUGGGCGUAAAGGGUGCGUAGGUGGUUUCUUAAGUCAGAGGUGAAAGGCUACGGCUCAACCGUAGUAAGCCUUUGAAACUGGGAAACUUGAGUGCAGGAGAGGAGAGUGGAAUUCCUAGUGUAGCGGUGAAAUGCGUAGAUAUUAGGAGGAACACCAGUUGCGAAGGCGGCUCUCUGGACUGUAACUGACACUGAGGCACGAAAGCGUGGGGAGCAAACAGGAUUAGAUACCCUGGUAGUCCACGCCGUAAACGAUGAGUACUAGCUGUCGGAGGUUACCCCCUUCGGUGGCGCAGCU
rnacentral:rRNA from 1 species